rnacentral:rRNA from 1 species
GACAGAGGGUGCAAACGUUGUUCGGAAUUACUGGGCGUAAAGCGUGUGUAGGUGGCUGCGUAAGUCGGAUGUGAAAGCCCUGGGCUCAACUCAGGAAGUGCACUCGAUACUGCGUAGCUCGAGUACCGGAGAGGUUGGUGGAAUUCUCGGUGUAGGGGUGAAAUUCGUAGAUAUCGAGAGGAACACCUGUGGCGAAGGCGGCCAACUGGACGAGUACUGACACUGAGACACGAAAGCGUGGGGAGCAAACAGG